UACGUAGGGCGCAAGCGUUAUCCGGAAUUAUUGGGCGUAAUGAGCUCGUAGGCGGUUUGUCGCGUCUGCCGUGAAAGUCCGGGGCUCAACUCCGGAUCUGCGGUGGGUACGGGCAGACUAGAGUGAUGUAGGGGAGACUGGAAUUCCUGGUGUAGCGGUGAAAUGCGCAGAUAUCAGGAGGAACACCGAUGGCGAAGGCAGGUCUCUGGGCAUUAACUGACGCUGAGACGCGAAAGCGUGGGGAGCGAACAGG
rnacentral:rRNA from 1 species